UUUCUUUGUGGUUUCUCUUACAUCAUGCAUGAAUCUUUCGCUUUUUGCUAAAGGUUUCUGUAGAGAGACUCAUCAAUGAGUUUGAUGUAUUUUUAUGAGCUUUGUUCUGGCAAAGCU